UUAUAUCACAUCGAACUGUCGUCGCGGCCGCGAGCUCAGCGGCUUCUUCCUCCGUCUCCCGGGAAGUACUCGCAGAGGAUGGGAACUACAACGCAUCCGACCAGAUCCGCACCAAAACCUAGAAUCGAUCCGAUGGCUUCCAGCACUAACUCGAUGGAUAUGCCUUAAGCAGACUGUGCAGAGUCAUCCACCUAGACUUUCUGCUAACUUUUUUUAAGCUUCUCGAUCCUUGGUCUCCUUCGGAGUAUAAACCUCUUCUCGAGGAAAGGAAAUGGUCUUCCUAUGCAGGGAAAUCACUGCAAUCUAAAAUUUUGUGUGCCCUCAUGGGAUGGCACACACGAAUUUAGGAGGGCGUUACACAAGCUUUCCUGUGUCUCAAAUAUAAUUGUGUACGACAGCAUCAGUCAUCUGUUUCUGAUCAGCGACCAACGGCUACUUGCAUCAAGACAUUCUAUUCUAGAUGAGAGGAACCGAGGACAUGAGAUGAUCAUCUUCUAGACAGCGAGCAAUAGCAACUCGCAUCAAGACAUUCUAUUCCAGAUGAGAGGAACCAAGGAACGGACAUGCGAUGAUCAUCUUCUAGACAGAAUGCGGAUGCCAGGUACGACGUCAGUGAUUGACUAUUCAACAGAGACCGAGGGAGAGAGAGAGAGAGAGGCUGUGUUCGUGAUUGUACGUGCCCAGGCUCAUGGCCUCUGCCUCUGCUCCACGGCUUUCGUGUGGGCCAUCCGGAACAAGACGGACGACGAGUGCGCGCCAAAGUGACCAAUGCCACGGGAGAGGGAGGGCGGAGCGCCGCUGGGCAAGUGCGAGAAGGAGCUGAAGCGGAAGGGGGCUGACCUCGACCCGCUCAAGGAGGUGGACGCGCUGCUGCGAACCGAAAGAGCCUGCUCCCGAGUCCAAAGGCGCGCAAGUGGUCGGCGACGGAUCUCGCCACCAUUGCGCUCCUGGUAAUAUCCCGCGGCGUCACCAGGUUCGUGCUCUACAGCUAGGAGUCUCGACGGUAAUCAUCUCGAUGCCCCUUCUUUUGCUUCUUCUCUUAGCCGAAUGAUACUUGGUUCUAUUUCAAGGAUUGAUCCAUAGAAAAAUGAAUGGUUCAAGUUCAACACCGGCGGGAUCUCUCUUCUGUUGAUGACCACAGUAAUCUAAGCAGUAUGGUCCCAUGGAUUUCAUCGAUCACUUCCACGGUCCACAAAGCGGGCGGGAGGGAGGAAGCAGCAGCAGCAUUGAAUGGCGGGGAGCGGACGAGGAGGCAGGCCCUGAGGCGCGUGCACCGGCACGCGGUGGUCAAAGGCGUAGAACUUGCUCGGGGCCUCAACCGGACGUGAAGCGCAUUAAAUGCGUUCGAGGCUUCGCGCUCGCCAUCAAUGGCGGCGGAGACCGUGCUGGAGGAGACGUGACGCUAUCUGCCUCUCCUUCCCCGGUGCGUGCGACACAUCCUCGACGAAAGAAAAGAUGAGAGGAGAUGGACGAAACAGAUCACACAACUGUGCGUGGGUCUUCCUCUGCCGCAAGAAGCGGCGUUCCGAGCUUUUGCUGCUAAAACCAUCGGAUACAUUAUGGAUGGAAGAAAGAUAUUACAUACAAUCUAAAAGGAAGGUUCCAUUUCUGAUUUGCUUGCACGAAAUUCAAAGCCUGGCCCUUUGUUCUUUGUUGGAGGCUUCGAACUGCGUAUUAUUUAAAGCAAGGUUAAAUGUGCAUG